rnacentral:rRNA from 1 species
UAACGGCGAGUGAAGCGGCAAGAGCUCAACUUUGGAAUCGCUCCGGCGAGUUGUAGUCUGGAGGUGGCCACCACGAGGUGUUCUAGCAGCAGGCAAGUCCUUUGGAACAAGGCGCCAGCGAGGGUGACAGCCCCGUACCUGCUUUUGCUAGUGCUUCCUGUGGCCCACCGACGAGUCGAGUUGUUUGGGAAUGCAGCUCUAAGUGGGUGGUAAAUUCCAUCUAAGGCUAAAUAUUGGCGAGAGACCGAUAGCGAACAAGUACAGUGAUGGAAAGAUGAAAAGCAYUUUGAAAAGAGAGUGAAACAGUACGUGAAAUUGUUGAAAGGGAAGGGCUUGCACCCAGACACGGUUUCGGCCGGGCCAGCAUCAAGUAGAACGGGGUUAAAAGACCUGGGGAAUGUAGCUACCUCUUGGUAGUGUUAUAGCCCUUGGGUGAUGACCCCUGUUUUGCUUGAGGACAGCGGUCUCUAGGAUGCUGGCGCAAUGGUUGCAAGCCACCCGUCUUGAA